GAUGAAGAACGCAGCGAAAUGCGAUAAGUAGUGUGAAUUGCAGAAUUCAGUGAAUCAUCGAAUCUUUGAACGCACAUUGCGCCCCUUGGUAUUCCAUGGGGCAUGCCUGUUCGAGCGUCAUUUGUACCUUCAAGCUCUGCUUGGUGUUGGGUGAUUGUCUAUCUUUGUAGACUCGCCUUAAAGUCAUUGGCAGCCGGCAUAUUGGCCUGGGAGCGCAGCACAAGUCGCGCUUCUUGUCAUGAAUGUUGGCGUCCAGUAAGUCUACAUAUUUUGCUCUUGACCUCGGAUCAGGUAGGGAUACCCGCUGAACUUAAGCAUAUCAUAAGCGGAGGA
rnacentral:misc_RNA from 1 species